UAGAUGAGUAGACUAACUGUCCAUUGUAGAAUAAUGAAGACUUUCCCCCUGAUUUGUAGCCCGUGCUAGACUGAACCAAUUGCCAACAUAAAGAAGCCCUGGGAAGAAGAUUUUGAGGACACCAGAUAAGACUUCAAUCUAAGACAGAGGGAUUUGUAUGGAAAUGCUUAGCCUCUUGCCAGAAGGAAAGGAAGUAGAAGUUUAAACAAAUGGAUCUGAAGCCUUUGGAGACGUGACUCCAAAGAACCCACUCACAGCUGAGAAUCAUUAAGAUGGCAUUCAUGUGACUUGAGAUUUUCCAUGUGUGAUGACUGCCUGUUUCAUCAAGUGACGUCGUUAGAGGCUGAAUCUACCUGUGCGCUGCAUGGCUGUGAUUUCACUACAACCAAGCUUUCCCUUGUGUGGGAAGGAAACACUAUGGACCUGCUGGGAGUUGCACAUCAGCCUCGAUUUCUCAGGAACCAGGAGCUCCAGCUUAUCAAGGACCUGAUGGUAGGUGGCCUGCAGUCCCCAGGUGCCGGGCACUGAC
rnacentral:lncRNA from 1 species